GGACGGGGUAACGGCCCAACAAGGCGAUGAUCAGUAGCCGGUCUGAGAGGAUGGACGGCCACAUUGGGACUGAGACACGGCCCAGACUCCUACGGGAGGCAGCAGUGGGGAAUCUUCCGCAAUGGACGAAAGUCUGACGGAGCAACGCCGCGUGAGUGAAGAAGGUCUUCGGAUUGUAAAGCUCUGUUAUACGGGACGAAAAAGACGGAUGCCAACAGUAUCCGUCCGUGACGGUACCGUAAGAGAAAGCCACGGCUAACUACGUGCCAGCAGCCGCGGUAAAU
rnacentral:rRNA from 1 species